GAUAUGCAUACAGACACACACGAGAGAUAUAGAGGGAAAGAGAGAGAGAGAAAGAGAUUGAAAGACAGUGAGAGUUGUAAAAUUGGACCUGUUUGUAGGAAGUGCACACACACACACACACACACACACAAACGCACACACGUACACAGCCGUUGACCCCUGUCUCUUGGCAGUGUGUCCCCAUGCCUGCCUGUCGCUGGGCUGGCGUUACUCUGGGAACGGUGCCAGGCUCGACGCCCCUGUGGCAGCAGCAGCCAAUGAGUGGCCCGGCGGGCACACCGCUCCCUCUGAUGCCCUGCCAACUAUUCAUCACUUAACAGGAAGAGGGAGAAAUCAGCCACGGCUGCCAAUUAUCAGGGAAAAACAGAAGGAAACUGGGGCAGGGGAGACACAACAUGGAGGAGGAACAUACAGACAAACAGACACAAUGUGUUAAAGGCAGACAGAUGGAAACAGACAGACGGACAGACGGACGGAAGGACAGAUUGACAGACAUGCAAAAUGUGAUAAAGGCAGACAGACGGGAGUGUUUUUGAGUUGUGCUUUCUGGGUUUUAUUCUUCGUCCACUUGGAAAAGGCAUUAACAGCCAGCUAGAACCAUACAUAGAGAUUUCACAAUAAGCAACCAGACUAUCUCUACAUUAUGACUUGUCACUGAGAGGGUACAGAGCACUGUGAGAUAUCCCCUCAAUAUCAACUUUAUAUAGCUCUGAUGUCACAGACAUGCCUGUGCAGGUUCAGUGUCAGUCUGGUCUUUCUACAACUCCACUGUGACUGGUUCUGUUUUAACACUCCCUAUCUCUCUCUCUCUUUCUCUUUCUCUCUGAAAGUUGAAACACUGUACAAAUACAGGAUGACUCAAACACAGAGGGCCAGGGAGAUUCCACAGGUCAGUCCUGACAACAGAUUAGUAUAGUCUAAACACCCUUUCAGAUCAGCUCUCUCCUGGUGGCACUGACAGACAAACAGACAUACUAACAGACAGACGGCCCCGUAAUGCUCUGUACUAGCAAACGCACCCCUAAAAAAUGAAUCAACACCGGUGGGCCUGGCCCUGCUCCCAACACUUCCUGACAAACGGCAAAGGAACAGCAGCCCGCUGUCGAACGGACACACCUGUCACCACGGAUACAGGGGCUUUACCGGCUGAUGAGAGAAAACAAAGCCAGGAAUGAACGACAGAAGAGAAAUAAAGGAGAAGAAAAGACAGAAAAACAAAAACACUAUGCCGGCCCUUUAAAUGUUCCUCCUGCACCUGACAGACAGGCAGACUGACACAUCCAUCCAUUCCCCCAGCCUGCCUUUGUUGCUAUAGACUGUUCCUGCUUUGACUCCAGCCUGAUUAAAGUCCACUGUUGGGCUAAGUGUG